CCUACGGGCGGCAGCAGUGAGGAAUAUUGGUCAAUGGACGAGAGUCUGAACCAGCCAAGUAGCGUGAAUGAUGACUGCCCUAUGGGUUGUAAACUUCUUUUAUAUGGGAAUAAAAUGUUCCACGUGUGGGAUUUUGUAUGUACCAUAUGAAUAAGGAUCGGCUAACUCCGUGCCAGCAGCCGCGGUAAUACGGAGGAUCCGAGCGUUAUCCGGAUUUAUUGGGUUUAAAGGGAGCGUAGGUGGAUUGUUAAGUCAGUUGUGAAAGUUUGCGGCUCAACCGUAAAAUUGCAGUUGAAACUGGCAGUCUUGAGUACAGUAGAGGUGGGCGGAAUUCGUGGUGUAGCGGUGAAAUGCUUAGAUAUCACGAAGAACUCCGAUUGCGAAGGCAGUUCACUGGACUGCAACUGACACUGAGGCUCGAAAGUGUGGGUAUCAAACAGGAUUAGAUACCCCUGUAGUC
rnacentral:rRNA from 1 species